CAUAGUAACACCUUACCAUCUUUUUCCAGCUGCUGAUGUGUGGGACUGGAGACAUCAGUGUGUCUGACUUCAAAGCCCAUGCAGUAGUUGUUGGUGGCUCAUGGCAUUUCAGAGAAAAGGUCAUGAGGUGGUUUUGGACUGUGGUUUCCAGUCUGACCCAGGAGGAGUUGGCUCGGCUACUUCAGUUCACAACAGGCUCCUCUCAGCUACCACCUGGAGGCUUUGCCGCCCUCUGUCCCUCAUUUCAGAUUAUUGCCGCUCCGACCCAUAGCACGCUGCCUACUGCACACACAUGGUAGGUAUCUGCCUGCCUGAUGCAUGCCCAGUGUUUUUGGUGGUAUGAGUUAAUCACUUCUCCCUUGCCCUUCCAGUUUUAACCAGCUGUGCCUCCCUACAUAUGACUCCUAUGAAGAGGUGCACAGGAUGCUGCAGCUGGCCAUCAGCGAGGGUUGCGAGGGCUUUGGCAUGCUCUGACCACUCUCCUGUCAUCCAGUUGGCUCCCAUGCUCUCUGGAGCUUCUGGG
rnacentral:sRNA from 1 species